rnacentral:rRNA from 1 species
CAAGUGAAGAAGCGCAUACGGUGGAUGCCUUGGCAGUCAGAGGCGAUGAAAGACGUGGUAGCCUGCGAAAAGCUUCGGGGAGUCGGCAAACAGACUUUGAUCCGGAGAUCUCUGAAUGGGGGAACCCACCUAGGAUAACCUAGGUAUCUUGUACUGAAUCCAUAGGUGCAAGAGGCGAACCAGGGGAACUGAAACAUCUAAGUACCCUGAGGAAAAGAAAUCAACCGAGAUUCCCUUAGUAGUGGCGAGCGAACGGGGAUUAGCCCUUAAGCUUCAUUGAUUUUAGCGGAACGCUCUGGAAAGUGCGGCCAUAGUGGGUGAUAGCCCCGUACGCGAAAGGAUCUUUGAAGUGAAAUCGAGUAGGACGGAGCACGAGAAACUUUGUCUGAACAUGGGGGGACCAUCCUCCAAGGCUAAAUACUACUGACUGACCGAUAGUGAACCAGUACCGUGAGGGAAAGGCGAAAAGAACCCCGGAGAGGGGAGUGAAAUAGAACCUGAAACCGUAUGCGUACAAGCAGUGGGAGCCUACUUGUUAGGUGACUGCGUACCUUUUGUAUAAUGGGUCAGCGACUUAUAUUCAGUGGCAAGCUUAACCGUAUAGGGUAGGCGUAGCGAAAGCGAGUCUUAAUAGGGCGUUUAGUCGCUGGGUAUAGACCCGAAACCGGGCGAUCUAUCCAUGAGCAGGUUGAAGGUUAGGUAACACUGACUGGAGGACCGAACCCACUCCCGUUGAAAAGGUAGGGGAUGACUUGUGGAUCGGAGUGAAAGGCUAAUCAAGCUCGGAGAUAGCUGGUUCUCCUCGAAAGCUAUUUAGGUAGCGCCUCAUGUAUCACUCUGGGGGGUAGAGCACUGUUUCGGCUAGGGGGUCAUCCCGACUUACCAAACCGAUGCAAACUCCGAAUACCCAGAAGUGCCGAGCAUGGGAGACACACGGCGGGUGCUAACGUCCGUCGUGAAAAGGGAAACAACCCAGACCGCCAGCUAAGGUCCCAAAGUUGUGGUUAAGUGGUAAACGAUGUGGGAAGGCUUAGACAGCUAGGAGGUUGGCUUAGAAGCAGCCACCCUUUAAAGAAAGCGUAAUAGCUCACUAGUCGAGUCGGCCUGCGCGGAAGAUGUAACGGGGCUCAAACCACACACCGAAGCUGCGGGUGUCACGUAAGUGACGCGGUAGAGGAGCGUUCUGUAAGCCUGUGAAGGUGAGUUGAGAAGCUUGCUGGAGGUAUCAGAAGUGCGAAUGCUGACAUGAGUAACGACAAUGGGUGUGAAAAACACCCACGCCGAAAGACCAAGGGUUCCUGCGCAACGUUAAUCGACGCAGGGUUAGUCGGUUCCUAAGGCGAGGCUGAAAAGCGUAGUCGAUGGGAAACAGGUUAAUAUUCCUGUACUUCUGGUUACUGCGAUGGAGGGACGGAGAAGGCUAGGCCAGCUUGGCGUUGGUUGUCCAAGUUUAAGGUGGUAGGCUGAAAUCUUAGGUAAAUCCGGGGUUUCAAGGCCGAGAGCUGAUGACGAGUCGUCUUUUAGAUGACGAAGUGGUUGAUGCCAUGCUUCCAAGAAAAGCUUCUAAGCUUCAGGUAACCAGGAACCGUACCCCAAACCGACACAGGUGGUCGGGUAGAGAAUACCAAGGCGCUUGAGAGAACUCGGGUGAAGGAACUAGGCAAAAUGGCACCGUAACUUCGGGAGAAGGUGCGCCGGCUAGGGUGAAGGAUUUACUCCGUAAGCUCUGGCUGGUCGAAGAUACCAGGCCGCUGCGACUGUUUAUUAAAAACACAGCACUCUGCAAACACGAAAGUGGACGUAUAGGGUGUGACGCCUGCCCGGUGCCGGAAGGUUAAUUGAUGGGGUUAGCGCAAGCGAAGCUCUUGAUCGAAGCCCCGGUAAACGGCGGCCGUAACUAUAACGGUCCUAAGGUAGCGAAAUUCCUUGUCGGGUAAGUUCCGACCUGCACGAAUGGCGUAACGAUGGCGGCGCUGUCUCCACCCGAGACUCAGUGAAAUUGAAAUCGCUGUGAAGAUGCAGUGUAUCCGCGGCUAGACGGAAAGACCCCGUGAACCUUUACUGUAGCUUUGCACUGGACUUUGAGCCUGCUUGUGUAGGAUAGGUGGGAGGCUUUGAAGCGUGGACGCCAGUUCGCGUGGAGCCAUCCUUGAAAUACCACCCUGGCAUGCUUGAGGUUCUAACUCUGGUCCGUAAUCCGGAUCGAGGACAGUGUAUGGUGGGCAGUUUGACUGGGGCGGUCUCCUCCUAAAGAGUAACGGAGGAGUACGAAGGUGCGCUCAGACCGGUCGGAAAUCGGUCGUAGAGUAUAAAGGCAAAAGCGCGCUUGACUGCGAGACAGACACGUCGAGCAGGUACGAAAGUAGGUCUUAGUGAUCCGGUGGUUCUGUAUGGAAGGGCCAUCGCUCAACGGAUAAAAGGUACUCCGGGGAUAACAGGCUGAUACCGCCCAAGAGUUCAUAUCGACGGCGGUGUUUGGCACCUCGAUGUCGGCUCAUCACAUCCUGGGGCUGAAGCCGGUCCCAAGGGUAUGGCUGUUCGCCAUUUAAAGUGGUACGCGAGCUGGGUUUAGAACGUCGUGAGACAGUUCGGUCCCUAUCUGCCGUGGACGUUUGAGAUUUGAGAGGGGCUGCUCCUAGUACGAGAGGACCGGAGUGGACGAACCUCUGGUGUUCCGGUUGUCACGCCAGUGGCAUUGCCGGGUAGCUAUGUUCGGAAAAGAUAACCGCUGAAAGCAUCUAAGCGGGAAACUUGCCUCAAGAUGAGAUCUCACUGGGAACUUGAUUCCCCUGAAGGGCCGUCGAAGACUACGACGUUGAUAGGCUGGGUGUGUAAGCGUUGUGAGGCGUUGAGCUAACCAGUACUAAUUGCCCGUGAGGCUUGACCA